UACGGAGGAUCCGAGCGUUAUCCGGAUUUAUUGGGUUUAAAGGGUCCGUAGGCGGAUCUGUAAGUCAGUGGUGAAAUCUCACAGCUUAACUGUGAAACUGCCAUUGAUACUGCAGGUCCUGAGUGUUAUUGAAGUAGCUGGAAUAAGUAGUGUAGCGGUGAAAUGCAUAGAUAUUACUUAGAACACCAAUUGCGAAGGCAGGUUACUAAGCAACAACUGACGCUGAUGGACGAAAGCGUGGGGAGCGAACAGG
rnacentral:rRNA from 1 species